UCGUCAAAAAUUACAAUGGAAACUUUUCUUUUAUAAUUCGAUAAGCCAUCGAGUAAGAUAGAUGAUUAUCUUGGGAAAAAUAAAAUUUUUAAUUAAGAUACAGAAGAUAGAAUCGAUGUGAUAAGAUAAAUAACGAUUAUACUUCACUAUUCGAUUAAUUGCAACGAUUGAUCUAACGUCACUGAAAAUAAUGGCGAAACUAAAUUCCCCAGUCAUAGUGAAAUUCAUAGUGAAACUUCCCAUAGUGAAAUUUGAUUAAUCUUCCUGAUAUAAUUUCAUUUAUGUCGUUCAUAAUAUUCCAAUUCAAGAAAUACACAACGAGCGGACGCUCAUCGGUUAAUGCUACGGGGAUACAGCGGAGACUUAAUACGAUUAUUAAGAUUUGGCGAACCUCGAAUUAUAUGUAUACGAGUCGCAAAGAAAGCAGGUAGAGGUACGAUUGAAAUAUACAACGAUGGUAAACAGGUGACUUUUAUGCUCGUUAUUACCUUUGAACAACGAUUUCUGGCAUCUAUCUAUACAUAUACGCAAGGGUUGCGGAAAAAUUGCUGAAAGAUCAAUUUCCAUGAUUGCCCUAUGUCUAUCAACCAUACAGUCAUGUAAUUCUAUAAUUUAAGAAUAUUGUUUAAGCUUUAGAAGUCUUAUUUUUUAAGCCUUAAGAAGGAAUCUUAUUUCCAUUUUCGUUAUCGACAUUCCAAUAUUCCUUACACAUGAGUUGAAGAUAUACUCGAUGUAGUUUAAUGUAACGAAUAUGAUAAGCUAAAAUAAUAAUUUUGAUAUCGUAGAAAUAGAUAACUAUUAAACAUAAUUUAUGCUUAACAGACAUAAAACGUGAUAACGAUAAACACGAAACGACAAUAAUAAUUAACGCUAAAAUGAUUCUCACUCUAAAUCGCCCACUACUCACUUUUCACGCUCUGAAAAUUAUUGUUCUAAGCUAUCGACUGUAACUUACUGAUUUUUUUUGUGGUAAGUUUACACGUUUAACCUAAUGUUUUUUUUGGUACUUUUGAUGGACAAUAUACAGGAUAUAACGAUAGGUAUUACUUCUUCGAUAAUUUUAACGAUUUUUUUCCGGUAUAAAUAACGGUGUCGCAGACGAUUUCGACAAACAGAGGAAGAUUGCACAAGUUACAUACAUAGCAACAACAGACAUCAAGAACCAUGGAAGUCAUGAGAUUCUUACUUUGCGUUGCAGUCAUUUUUAUGAUUGCUUUCAUUUCAGCAAGCAAUGCGAACCCAGAGCCUAAUCCUUCGCCAGAGGCGGAUCCGGAAGCAGCUAACAUAAAGGAUAUAUUAGGAAAAAUAGGAAAAGUGUUGGCUCACUUGGGAUAAUCGACCCCAACGAUACGUGUACGACGGGUACAGGCACGACUACCGGCUUUUAAAUAUGACGAAUUUAAAUGCAUAUAUGUAUACGUAACUACGAAUGUAUACGAAACAUGUAAAAAUUAGCCAAAUAAAUUUUUUGUUGCUUAACU